ACACAUCCCCCCAAAAUCUCUCCAGGCGACCGUCCCACAGAUUACAGGACAGAAACCUCCAAAUCGAAACGGACAGCCAUUGAACAUGGACGAAGGAAUCCCUCAUUUGCAAGAGAGACAGUUACUGGAACAUAGGGAUUUUAUAGGGUAAGGUGUACGCACCGUUGCGAAUAUCUGUCUAGGCGUCGGUUUGGCUUUUUUUUUUUUAAUCCCCUGCACAAAGUGAUAUGGAGCGGGUGAGGGCAGAGCCCCUCCCGGAAUGGGGGCCUGAUGCUGAUUUCUGUUUUUGCAGACUGGACUAUUCCUCUUUGUAUAUGUGUAAACCCAAAAGGAGCUUGAAGCGAGACGAUACCAAGGUAAGUCUUAAGUUUCCCAUAACCUGCCUGGAUAGUUAAUUAGGGCCAUUGAUUUCGCAAGGAAACUCUGCCCGCAAAUAUAUUCCAGCCCUGAGCUUUCCUAACUGUGAAUUUUAAGUGGCUUGCUGGAUACUCCGGGGGAUAUUCAACACCGCACCUGAAUUUAAAUUGCAUUUUAGAAGUCUAGAGGAGAGAGUUCUGGGCAUUAGUUCAUUACAUAGUGUGUUUGGGGGUUGGGGUGGGAGGGUUCUAUCCAGUAAGUGAAUGAAUGUUUAGCUCACUGCUGUAUCUUUUCUCUGGCUCGUGUAUGAAGGAUACCUACAAGUUACCGCAC
rnacentral:lncRNA from 1 species